UACGUAGGGCGCAAGCGUUGUCCGGAAUUAUUGGGCGUAAAGAGCUCGUAGGUGGCGUGUCGCGUCUGCCGUGAAAGCCCAUGGCUUAACUGUGGGUCUGCGGUGGAUACGGGCAGGCUGGAGGCUGGUAGGGGCAAGCGGAAUUCCUGGUGUAGCGGUGGAAAUGACGUAGAUAUCAGGAGGAACACCGGUGGCGAAGGCGGCUUGCUGGGCCAGUUCUGACGCUGAGGAGCGAAAGCGUGGGGAGCGAACAGG
rnacentral:rRNA from 1 species